GGGGAUGUAGUUUACAUGGUUAAAACAUAAGUUUUGCAAACUUGGGAACUGAGUUCAAUUCUCAGUGACUCCA
rnacentral:tRNA from 1 species